UACGAAGGGGGCUAGCGUUGUUCGGAAUCACUGGGCGUAAAGGGCGCGUAGGCGGCUUUAUAAGUCGGGGGUGAAAGCCUGUGGCUCAACCUCGGAACUGCCUUCGAUACUGCGGGUCUCGAGUCCGGGAGAGGUGAGUGGAAUUCCUAGUGUAGAGGUGAAAUUCGUAGAUAUUAGGAAGAACACCAGUGGCGAAGGCGGCUCACUGGCCCGGUACUGACGCUGAGGCGCGAAAGCGUGGGGAGCAAACAGG
rnacentral:rRNA from 1 species